GACGAACGCUGGCGGCGUGCUUAACACAUGCAAGUCGAACGGAAAGGCCCUGCUUGCAGGGUACUCGAGUGGCGAACGGGUGAGUAACACGUGGGUGAUCUGCCCUGCACUUCGGGAUAAGCCUGGGAAACUGGGUCUAAUACCGGAUAGGAGCCAUUUUUAGUGUGAUGGUUGGAAAGUUUUUUCGGUGUAGGAUGAGCUCGCGGCCUAUCAGCUUGUUGGUGGGGUAAUGGCCUACCAAGGCGGCGACGGGUAGCCGGCCUGAGAGGGUGGACGGCCACAUUGGGACUGGGAUACGGCCCAGACUCCUACGGGAGGCAGCAGUGGGGAAUAUUGCACAAUGGGCGCGAGCCUGAUGCAGCGACGCCGCGGGGGGGAGGACGGCCUUCGGGUUGUAAACUCCUUUCGCUAGGGACGAAGCUUUUUGUGACGGUACCUAGAUAAGAAGCACCGGCUAACUACGUG
rnacentral:rRNA from 1 species